rnacentral:rRNA from 1 species
UACGAAGGGGGCUAGCGUUGCUCGGAAUCACUGGGCGUAAAGGGUGCGUAGGCGGGUCUUUAAGUCAGGGGUGAAAUCCUGGAGCUCAACUCCAGAACUGCCUUUGAUACUGAAAAUCUUGAGUCCGGGAGAGGUGAGUGGAACUGCGAGUGUAGAGGUGAAAAUUCGUAGAUAUUCGCAAGAACACCAGUGGCGAAGGCGGCUCACUGGCCCGAUACUGACGCUGAGGCACGAAAGCGUGGGGAGCAAACAGG